rnacentral:lncRNA from 1 species
CAGUGUUGGCUCAGGCAAUUUCAGAAGCUCUUACGGUGGGAAUAAGCUAAAUUGACUCUGAAGACGCAUUUUGGGAGCAGGACAUGGAUUGAGAUACAAUGACAGGCCAUGUUUCAGAUGGAUCUGUCUGAGACAUGAAGUGCUAGCUUGGGGCCAGGGUGGUGUUUUAUAGUCCCUGCAGUGUUUUCUAGUGGGAUAAGAAUAUGUGAGAUUCUGGUAAACAAAGAGAGAAGAGCCAGUCGGGAAAAUGCCAGGUCAAACAGAAAAUUCAGAAAGUCAAAAUCAGGAUAACACAAGGACUAUGACUUGACCCAUAUAAGUCUUCCUGUGCAAGGACAAAGGGAGACAGACUCAAAAAGGAGCCAGAGAUUUAGGGCUGACAGGUGGAGUUUGUGGGGAAUGUGCCACAAGGUAUGGGUGGGGGGACCCGGUCAGGGGGAGUUGGCUAAUGUUCUUCCCCUGGUAACGUUAGACAAGGGCAUGCGUGAGCCCGGGAAGAAACCUGUAGAGGGCUGGCCGGAUGCAGAACUAUGAGGAAAGGCUGGUGAGAACAGCAGCCCUUCCACACCCCUGGAUACUCAUUGUGAUUGUUGAACGGCUGCUCCUGGAGCAGCAGAAGGAGGAGUCUUCCUGGGCAGGGACUAUCACUUCCACUUCUGUGAGCUCUGGUCCUGAGAACCUAGCGACGACUGGAAAGGACAGCACAGCAAUGAGAACAGAUGUGAGUUCCAUCCCAGAACAUUAAAGCCCUGCAUUUUGGAGUACACUGCUUUGCAAUAAUCUAGUUUUCUCAGUAUGUCAAGAGCAUGUUUUCUUGCUUUUCUGGGCAUUCUAUCAUGACAACUUUCUAUGUGGCCCAAAUAAAAUUCUAAAUAGAAUGCUUUAGUUGCA